GUAGGGUGCAAGCGUUAAUCGGAAUUACUGGGGCGUAAAGCGUGCGCAGGCGGUUUUGUAAGACAGUGGUGAAAUCCCCCGGGGGCUCAACCUGGGGAACUGCCAUUGUGACUGCAAGGCUGGAGUGCGGCAGAGGGGAUGGAAUUCCGCGUGUAGCAGUGAAAUGCGUAGAUAUGCGGAGGAACACCGAUGGCGAAGGCAAUCCCCUGGGCCUGCACUGACGCUCAUGCACGAAAGCGUGGGGAGCAAACAGGAUUAGAUACCCUGGUAGUCCACGCCCUAAACGAUGUCAACUGGUUGUUGGGAAUUUAUUUUCUCAGUAACGAAGCUAACGCGUGAAGUUGACCGCCUGGGGAGUACGGCCGCAAGGUUA
rnacentral:rRNA from 1 species